AACAUCGCGCACCUGCGGGAACCUGCGGAAGGAUCAUUACAGAGUUGCAAAACUCCCUAAACCAUUGUGAGCGUUACCUAAACCGUUGCUUCGGCGGGCGGCCCGGGUCCUUCCCGGCGCCCAUCGGCCCUCGCGGGCGCCCGCCGGAGGUAAACCAAACUAUUGCAUUGUAUGGCCUCUCUGAGUCUUCUGUACUGAAUAAGUCAAAACUUUCAACAACGGAUCUCAGAUCGGAAGAGC
rnacentral:misc_RNA from 1 species